UACGUAGGGUGCAAGCGUUAAUCGGAAUUACUGGGCGUAAAGCGUGCGCAGGCGGUUCGCUAAGACAGAUGUGAGAUCCCCGGGCUUAACCUGGGAACUGCAUUUGUGACUGGCGGGCUAGAGUAUGGCAGAGGGGGGUAGAAUUCCACGUGUAGCAGUGAAAUGCGUAGAGAUGUGGAGGAAUACCGAUGGCGAAGGCAGCCCCCUGGGCCAAUACUGACGCUCAUGCACGAAAGCGUGGGGAGCAAACGGG
rnacentral:rRNA from 1 species